rnacentral:rRNA from 1 species
AGUGAACGCUGGCGGCGUGCUUAACACAUGCAAGUCGAACGAGAAACGGAUUUAGCUUGCUAAAUUGCAGUCUAAGUGGCGCACGGGUGAGUAAUGUAUAGGUAAUAUGCCUCUUAUUAAGGGAUAACAAUUGGAAACGAUUGCUAAUACCUUAUAUGCCUUUAAUACGAAAGUAUGCAAGGGAAAGAUUUAUUGGUAAGAGAUUAGCCUGUAUGGUAUCAGUUAGUUGGUGAGGUAAUGGCUCACCAAGACAAUGACGCCUAACUGGUUUGAGAGGAUGAUCAGUCACACUGGAACUGAGACACGGUCCAGACUCCUACGGGAGGCAGCAGUGGGGAAUAUUGCACAAUGGACGAAAGUCUGAUGCAGCAACGCCGCGUGGAGGAUGACACAUUUCGGUGCGUAAACUCCUUUUAUAUAGGAAGAUAAUGACGGUACUAUAUGAAUAAGCACCGGCUAACUCCGUGCCAGCAG